rnacentral:rRNA from 1 species
AGAGAGAGACAUGCGCGCAUAUCAAUAAGCGGAGGAAAAGAAACUAACAAGGAUUCCCCUAGUAACGGCGAGUGAAGCGGGAAGAGCUCAAAUUUGAAAUCUUAAAGGGUUUCCCUUUACGAAUUGUAGUUUAAAGAAGUGUUUUCUGUUGAGGUUUUGGUAAAAGUUCUUUGGAAUAGGACAUCAUAGAGGGUGAGAAUCCCGUAUUUGACCUUCACUUUCAACUUUGUGAUACACUUUCAAAGAGUCGGAUUGUUUGGGAAUGCAUGUCCAAAAUGGGUGGUAAAUUUCAUCUAAAGCUAAAUAUUGGCGAGAGACCGAUAGCGAACAAGUACCGUGAGGGAAAGAUGAAAAGAACUUUGAAAAGAGAGUUAAACAGUACGUGAAAUUGUCAAAAGGGAAGCGUUUGACACCAGUGUUGUUUUUCUGAAAAUCAAUUAAAGAACUGUUUAUGCUAAGUUGUUUAGACUUUAUCAGCUAACUGUUUAGUUUUGAGCUUUUCUUUAAUGCACUUUUCAGUUAACAAGUCAACAUCAAUUUCUUUUGCUGUAAAAAAGCUUGAGGAAGGUGGCUUGAGAUUCGUCUUAAGUGUUUAUAGCCUCUUGCCUAUGCAGUCGGAGAGAUUGAGGUCUGCAGCGUAGAUCCUUCGGGGCUAAAUGCAUUUGUGCUAAGUUAUAGCAUUUUAUAGACAACUUGUUGACUAUGAUUUGUCUUGUAGCUUACUCGCUUAUGUUAUUUUACCUACGCUUAGGAUGUUGAGCGCAUGUCUCUCUCU